CAUAAUUCAUUUAUUACCUUUUAUACUUGACCCAUAUAAUUAAAUUAAGUUAGUGGGCUUAACCACUUUUAAUACUUAAUUAAUAUUAGAAAAAAAUAAAGGAGUAAGGGUAAGAAACUAUCUGUGUGCGGCGUGAAUGCAAACGUGAGGGGUCGAACGAAAAUUUACGGAUCGUGAGCGUUUCGAAACUUUGCAUAAAGGGAAGGAACUAUCUUAAAGAUUCAUGACACGAAUUUGGCACUUGAGAUUCAAUUCCGAGUAGGAGCACAUCUCGUGGAGCAAAGUGAGUCCGGCUUGAAGUUUUUGGAGUUGUGGUGAGCUGCUUGGCAGUUCCGUGGCCCACACCUCUCUCUAUCUUUUACGUAUUCUGUUAUUCAGUGUUCAGACAGGAUAUCCCUUAAGUUAGAUUUGUCAUUUUAGUUUCAUACUUGCAUCGUAUUCUAGAAGCUCUUGAACUUAAGACACAAAUUCUUGGGGUGAUAUAUUUUAGAUUU